AUUGAACGCUGGCGGCAUGCCUUACACAUGCAAGUCGAACGGUAACGCGGGGCAACCUGGCGACGAGUGGCGAACGGGUGAGUAACGCAUCGGAACGUGCCCAGUAGUGGGGGAUAGCCCGGCGAAAGCCGGAUUAAUACCGCAUACGACCUAAGGGUGAAAGCGGGGGAUCGCAAGACCUUGCGCUAUUGGAGCGGCCGAUGUCAGAUUAGGUAGUUGGUGGGGUAAAGGCCUACCAAGCCUGCGAUCUGUAGCUGGUCUGAGAGGGCGACCAGCCACACUGGGACUGAGACACGGCCCAGACUCCUACGGGAGGCAGCAGUGGGGAAUUUUGGACAAUGGGGGAAACCCUGAUCCAGCCAUGCCGCGUGCGGGAAGAAGGCCUUCGGGUUGUAAACCGCUUUUGUCAGGGAAGAAAAGGCGCAUUUUAAUACAUUGCGACAAUGGCGGUACCUGAAGAAUAAGCACCGGCUAACUACGUG
rnacentral:rRNA from 1 species